AUUGAACGCUGGCGGCAGGCCUAACACAUGCAAGUCGAACGGUAACAGAAAGCAGCUUGCUGCUUUGCUGACGAGUGGCGGACGGGUGAGUAAUGUCUGGGAAACUGCCUGAUGGAGGGGGAUAACUACUGGAAACGGUAGCUAAUACCGCAUAACGUCGCAAGACCAAAGAGGGGGACCUUCGGGCCUCUUGCCAUCGGAUGUGCCCAGAUGGGAUUAGCUUGUUGGUGGGGUAACGGCUCACCAAGGCGACGAUCCCUAGCUGGUCUGAGAGGAUGACCAGCCACACUGGAACUGAGACACGGUCCAGACUCCUACGGGAGGCAGCAGUGGGGAAUAUUGCACAAAGGGCGCAAGCCUGAUGCAGCCAUGCCGCGUGUAUGAAGAAGGCCUUCGGGUUGUAAAGUACUUUCAGCGGGGAGGAAGGGAGUAAGGUUAAUACCUUUGCUCAUUGACGUUACCCGCAGAAGAAGCACCGGCUAACUCCGUG
rnacentral:rRNA from 1 species